rnacentral:lncRNA from 1 species
CAAGUACGUAGGUGCUCAAUAGAGAAUGAGUUCACUGAACACGAUCAACGAAGAGUUCUUAUAUUCAUGUCACAUGAGAACUCAUGGUUGGGAUAAUGCAAAGUAGUCCUUUGACCUGAGGCAUCAUAGUUGUCUUAUGGUUAAGUCCUUGAUCUUUGAUUAUGUCAAAGUCACUCCAUCAGGAGGGUAUCCACGGCAUAGUUGGGGUUAAGCCACUUAGCCAUGGAGGCAAGUGAAUGUGCAACAAGGGAUCUCUAACCUUCAAACCGUUUGAG